UGUGCCCUAAAGUUAACUUGUCAGCUUU
rnacentral:piRNA from 1 species